AUACAUGAUCACAGGGGAGAUACAUGAUCACCAAAGGUGGUUUUCCCAGGGCGAGGCUCAUCCAUUGCUCUGUGGGUGUACUGACUUCUGCAAUUUCCCCAAAUAUGAGAAACUCAACUGUAUAAUUUGUGGUAGAGGGGAACUGCAUUAGCACUUUCUCCUG
rfam:Pelodiscus sinensis unplaced genomic scaffold scaffold71, whole genome shotgun sequence.